rnacentral:rRNA from 1 species
CAGCCGCCGCGGUAAUACGAAGGGGGCUAGCGUUGUUCGGAAUUACUGGGCGUAAAGGGCGCGUAGGCGGCCAUUCAAGUUAGAUGGGAAAGCCCUGGGCUCAACCUAGGAAUUGCAUUUGAUACUGUUUGGCUUGAGUUCGGGAGAGGUGAGUGGAAUUCCCAGUGUAGAGGUGAAAUUCGUAGAUAUUGGGAAGAACACCAGUGGCGAAGGCGGCUCACUGGACCGACACUGACGCUGAGGCGCGAAAGCGUGGGGAGCAAACAGGAUUAGAUACCCGCGUAGUCCCUGUCUCUUAUAC